UACGAAGGGGGCUAGCGUUGCUCGGAAUCACUGGGCGUAAAGGGCGCGUAGGCGGCUUAUCAAGUCGGGGGUGAAAGCCCGUGGCUCAACCACGGAAUGGCCUUCGAUACUGGUAGGCUUGAGACCGGAAGAGGACAGCGGAACUGCGAGUGUAGAGGUGAAAUUCGUAGAUAUUCGCAAGAACACCAGUGACGAAGGCGGCUGUCUGGUCCGGUUCUGACGCUGAGGCGCGAAAGCGUGGGGAGCAAACAGG
rnacentral:rRNA from 1 species